rnacentral:misc_RNA from 1 species
GAUGAAGAACGUAGCGAAAUGCGAUAAGUAAUGUGAAUUGCAGAAUUCAGUGAAUCAUCGAAUCUUUGAACGCACAUUGCGCCCGCCAGUAUUCUGGCGGGCAUGCCUGUUCGAGCGUCAUUUCAACCAUCAAGCCCCCGGGCUUGUGUUGGGGACCUGCGGCUGCCGCGGGCCCUGAAAAGCAGUGGCGGGCUCGCUGUCACACCGAGCGUAGUAGAUUUUAUCUCGCUCUGGGCGUGCUGCGGGUUCCGGCCGUUAAACCACCCUUUUAACCCAAGGUUGACCUCGGAUCAGGUAGGAAGACCCGCUGAACUUAAGCAUAUCAAUAAGCGGAGGA